rnacentral:tRNA from 1 species
GCCUGGGUGGCUUAGUCGGUUGAGCGUCUGACUUUGACUCAGGUCAUGAUCUCAUGGUUCGUGAGUUGGAGCCCUGCAUCAGGCU